rnacentral:rRNA from 1 species
GACGGACCAUCCAAACGUUAUUCGGAAUUACUGGGCUUAAAGGGUGCGUAGGCGGCGCGGAAAGUUGGGUGUGAAAUCCCUUGGCUUAACCAAGGAAUGGCGCUCAAAACUACCGUGCUCGAGGAAGACAGAGGUGAGCGGAACUUAGGGUGGAGCGGUGAAAUGCGUUGAUAUCCUAAGGAACACCGGUGGCGAAAGCGGCUCACUGGAUCUCUUCUGACGCUGAGGCACGAAAGCUAGGGUAGCAAACGGG